rnacentral:rRNA from 1 species
GAGACUCUGUGCGCGUGCAUAUCAAUAAGCGGAGGAAAAGAAACUAACAAGGAUUCCCUUAGUAACGGCGAGUGAAGCGGGAAGAGCUCAAAUUUGAAAUCUUCAAGGUUCUACCUUGACGAAUUGUAGUUUAUAGAAGUGUUUUCUGUUAGUAGAGUGGCAAAAGUUCUUUGGAAUAGGACAUCAUAGAGGGUGAGAAUCCCGUAUUUGGUCAUUCCUCCUAGCGUUGUGAUACACUUUCAACGAGUCGGAUUGUUUGGGAAUGCAGUCCAAAAUGGGUGGUAAAUUUCAUCUAAAGCUAAAUAUUGGCGAGAGACCGAUAGCGAACAAGUACCGUGAGGGAAAGAUGAAAAGAACUUUGAAAAGAGAGUUAAACAGUACGUGAAAUUGUCAAAAGGGAAGCGUUUGACACCAGUGUUGUUUUUCCGAAAAUCAACUACGAAUGUUUUAUUUUUGAGGAGUUAUGACUUCAUCGGCUUGCUCCUUUCUUUAUGAAACUUUCUUAAUGCACUUUUCGGUUAACAAGUCAACAUCAACUUCUUUUGUUGUAAAAGGGUAUGAGGAAGGUGGCUUUCUUUUCGGAGAAAGUGUUUAUAGCCUUGUACCUCUGCAAUCGGAGAGAUUGAGGUCUGCAGCGUAGAUCCUUCGGGGUUAGAUACAUUUGUGCUAAGUUAUAGCUUUUCAUAGACAACUUGUUGACUAUGCUUAGUCUUGUAGCUUACUCGCUUAUGCUAUUUUACCUACGCUUAGGAUGUUGAAGAUGUAGCACAUCAU